GACGAACGCUGGCGGCGUGCUUAACACAUGCAAGUCGAACGGAAAGGCCCUGCUUUUGUGGGGUGCUCGAGUGGCGAACGGGUGAGUAACACGUGAGUAACCUGCCCUUGACUUUGGGAUAACUUCAGGAAACUGGGGCUAAUACCGGAUAGGAGCUCCUGCUGCAUGGUGGGGGUUGGAAAGUUUCGGCGGUUGGGGAUGGACUCGCGGCUUAUCAGCUUGUUGGUGGGGUAGUGGCUUACCAAGGCUUUGACGGGUAGCCGGCCUGAGAGGGUGACCGGCCACAUUGGGUCUGAGGCACGGCCCAGACCGCUACGGGAGGCAGCAGUGGGGAAUAUUGCACAAUGGGCGGAAGCCUGAUGCAGCAACGCCGCGUGCGGGAUGACGGCCUUCGGGUUGUAAACCGCUUUCGCCUGUGACGAAGCGUGAGUGACGGUAAUGGGUAAAGAAGCACCGGCUAACUACGUG
rnacentral:rRNA from 1 species